rnacentral:rRNA from 1 species
GAUCAUGGCUCAGGAUGAACGCUGGCGGCGUGCCUAACACAUGCAAGUCGAACGAAGCACCUUACCGGAUUCUUCGGAUGAAGGUCUGGUGACUGAGUGGCGGACGGGUGAGUAACGCGUGGGUAACCUGCCCUGUACAGGGGGAUAACAGCUGGAAACGGCUGCUAAUACCGCAUAAGCGCACGAGGAGACAUCUCCUAGUGUGAAAAACUACCGGUGGUACAGGAUGGGCCGGCCGU